rnacentral:rRNA from 1 species
CCUGACUGCUAUCGGAUUGAUACUAAGCCAUGCGAGUCAUUGUAGUAAUACAAGGCAGACGGCUCAGUAACGCGUAGUCAACCUACCCUAUGGACGGGGAUAACCUCGGGAAACUGAGAAUAAUACCCGAUAGAACAUUAUGCCUGGAAUGGUUUAUGUUUCAAAUAAUUUAUUGCCGUAGGAUGGGACUGCGGCCUAUCAGUUUGUUGGUGAGGUAAUGGCCCACCAAGACUAUUACAGGUACGGGCUCUGAGAGGAGUAGCCCGGAGAUGGGUACUGAGACACGGACCCAGGCCCUAUGGGGCGCAGCAGGCGAGAAAACUUUGCAAUGUGCGAAAGCACGACAAGGUUAAUCCGAGUGGUUUCUGCCAAAGGAACCUUUUGUCAGUCCUAGAAACACUGAUGAAUAAGGGGUGGGCAAGUUCUGGUGUCAGCCGCCGCGGUAAAACCAGCACCUCAAGUGGUCAGGAUGAUUAUUGGGCCUAAAGCAUCCGUAGCCUGCUUUGUUAGUUUUCGGUUAAAUCCAUACGCUCAACGUAUGGGCUGCCGGGAAUACUACAAAGCUAGGGAGUGGGAGAGGUAGACGGUACUCGGUAGGAAGGGGUAAAAUCCUUUGAUCUAUUGAUGACCACCUGUGGCGAAGGCGGUCUACCAGAACACGUCCGACGGUGAGGGAUGAAAGCUGGGGGAGCAAACCGGGUUAGAUACCCGGGUAGUCCCAGCUGUAAACUAUGCAAACUCAGUGAUGCAUUGGCUUGAUGCCAAUGCAGUGCUGCAGGGAAGCCGUUAAGUUUGCCGCCUGGGAAGUACGUACGCAAGUAUGAAACUUAAAGGAAUUGGCGGGGGAGCACCACAAGGGAUGAAGCCUGCGGUUC